rnacentral:rRNA from 1 species
UACGAAGGGGGCUAGCGUUGCUCGGAAUCACUGGGCGUAAAGGGUGCGUAGGCGGGUCUUUAAGUCAGGGGUGAAAUCCUUGAGCUCAACUCCAGAACUGCCUUUGAUACUGAAGAUCUUGAGUUCGGGAGAGGUGAGUGGAACUGCGAGUGUAGAGGUGAAAUUCGUAGAUAUUCGCAAGAACACCAGUGGCGAAGGCGGCUCACUGGCCCGAUACUGACGCUGAGGCACGAAAGCGUGGGGAGCAAACAGG